CUUUCGAACCCGCNUUAUGCUAUCAACAUGGGCUUAUUGNUCUAUGGCUCACACUGAGACGCUCGUCGUCAGCCUAACACAUGCAAGUCGAACGGCAGCACAGGAGAGCUUGCUCUCUGGGUGGCGAGUGGCGGACGGGUGAGGAAUACAUCGGAAUCUACUCUGUCGUGGGGGAUAACGUAGGAAACUUACGCUAAUACCGCAUACGACCUACGGGUGAAAGCAGGGGACCUUCGGGCCUUGCGCGAAUUGAAUGAGCCGAUGUCGGAUUAGCUAGUUGGCGGGGUAAAGGCCCACCAAGCGACGAUCCGUAGCUGGUCUGAGAGGAUGAUCAGCCACACUGGAACUGAGACACGGUCCAGACUCCUACGGGAGGCAGCAGUGGGGAAUAUUGGACAAUGGGCGCAAGCCUGAUCCAGCCAUACCGCGUAGGGUGAAGAAGGCCUUCGGGUUGUACAAGCCCNUUUGGUGGGAAAGAAAUCCAGCUAGGCUAAUACCCGGUUGGGAUAGACGGNUACCCNAAAGCAAUAAGCACCGGCUUAACUUCGUGCCAGCAGCGUGGUU
rnacentral:rRNA from 1 species